AGUUCAUGUGGAGGCGUUGAUUCGAGACCUGAAUAAUGGUCGCUUAUCCUCGAUAGGGGGAGGAGGUCUCGAUGAGCCAAUAGCGAAACCGCCCACUCGAUGA
rnacentral:ncRNA from 1 species